UUUGCCUAUACUGCUUGAUAUCUAUAUACAGAAGAAUCUAUAUAUAUACAUAUGAUAUCUAUAUACUCUUUGCAGCUACUGAAUUUAGGAUCCUAGCCAUUUUUAUAGUUAUUUUUCUGUACAUUUUAAGCAAAAGUAAUAUAUACUUAUCAUGUACUUAAUGUAAAAAAAAACCCAGCAAGUUUUAUACAAAGCUAUUUGUAGGCCAGUCUAGACUCCCUAGAAUGUCCAGGUUCAUGAAAAAACUUUCAGCUGUUCCCUGUUCUAUGUGAGGCACUGUGCACGUGCCCCAUCAUAAUUCUGUGAUGCUCACCAACCCCAAAUGUAGUGGGGUGCGCCUCUGAGGCAAACUCCUAGGGUGUUCUCACAGCCUUGGGCGAUGCGUAGGGGGUGCACACGGGUGCAUGUGCGCCCCUGAGCAUGGUGGUGCACCCCCUGCAGAAAGGGGUGCCUGUGGGGGGUCGCCACUUGCCAUCCUGCCACUGACACCGCCGGCAGUGUUUGUGGGCAGUCCACAAUCGCCCCUGGCUGCCGCCGCCACUGCUCACCACCUCCCCCCACCUCCCUGCUGCUGACAGUGCCAGCAGUGUUUGUGGGAGCUCCCUGCUUACCACUGCAGCUCUCCCACCACUGCCACCGCAAUCCUGCUGCAACCAGCGCAGCUGUGCCCCCCCCCCCCAGCUGCCGGGGGCACGCGCCAUUCAUGGUCACAGUCCCAGCCCCUUCCUGCCAUCUGCUGCUUGAUCACUGAGAAAGAUUGAGAUGCUCCAAAGGUCACCUCCCUGCCCUAUGGUACCUCAGCUUUACCUCCCUCACCCAGGUUUUGCCAGCUCUUAGCGUGGGGGGUGUUGCCAGCUAGGAGAAUCACACCCUUGUUCGCUCUUGCACUCAGAAAAAAUAGAUUCUCCCUUCCAGAAUAGAGGCCUGUUCUGAGAUCCCAGUUAAUUCUGACAAUAAGUGAAUAAAAAACCCCACAAAAGGAUCUAUUAUAAAAUCAAGAACAAGCAUAAGAAAUCAGUAACCAUAUGUUGAUAUGCAGACAGCGAUAUAAGAACAAACAAACAAAAUACCUGAAAAAUAACCUGUUCUUAUCCUGCAUCUUAAAUCCAAGAAUGCAGUCCCUACCCAGUUUAACAGGUUAGAAGGCGACUCCUGUCGCUGACCCCUCUGCCAGGACCUUCUGCAGUUUCUCUCUCAGCCUGCUUUACUCAGCCUGCUAGCUGAGGGACUGCAGCCUUCCCUGUACCCAAGAGAAAAAAUUUUGCUCUCAAUGCAAGGCUAAAGUAUAGUUUCUUUUCUGGCCAAUCACAUACCUCACCUAUUGGAUUCUCAGGAGGCCCAUACUAUGUGUGGGCCUGCGGAAAGCCCUGCAGCUUCUGUGCACAGGUCUGUGGCUCAAGGAUUGGACUCUUAAGUCACCUCAAGACCCAUCAAUGAACUCUGGUAGACAUCAUCCUUGAAUUGAGGAACUGCCAAUAACUAAGAAGGCUAAGCAUACUGGGUUGCAUUAGUAGAAGCAUUCCCAGCAGAUCAAGGGAAGUAAUUAUUCCCCUUUAUUCAGCACUCGUGAGGCCACAUCUGGUGUCCUGUGUCCAGUUUUGAGCCCCCCACUACAGAAGGGAUGUAGACAAGUUGGAAAGAGUCCAGCGGAGGACAAUAAAAAUGGGUAGGAGGCUAGGACUUAUGAGGAGAGGCUGGGGGGACAGGGCUUAUUUAGUCUGCCCAAGAGAAGACUGAGGCGGGAUUUGAUAGCAGCCUUUAACUACCUGAAGGGUGGGUCCAAAGAGAAUGGAGCCAGACUGUUCUCAGUGGUGGCAGAUGGCAGAACAAGAAGCAAUGUUCUCAAGUUGCAACAAGGGAAGUUUAGGUUGGAUAUUAGGAAAAACCUUCUCACUAGGAUGGUGGUGAAGUACUGGAGUGGAUUACCUAGAGAGGUGGUGGAAUCUCCAUCCUUGGAGGUUUUUAAGGCCUGGCUCAACAAAGCCCUGGCUAGGAUGAUCUAGUUGGGGAGGGUCCUGCUUUGAGCAGGGGGUUGGACUAGAUGACCUCCUGAUGUCCCUUCCAACUCUAAUUUUCUAUGAGUCUAUGAUUUUGUGAUUCUAAAUGUAUAACUUCCUGCCCUUUCCAAAGGUGCAUGUGUUUAACAAAGCAGAAAUCUUUCUUGAUCUAAUUAUGACCAGGAGAAUAUUUACAUCCUUGAAAAUAUAAAAACUGCUAAUCCAAUAUCCUAAAGAUCCUGUGUGUCUUAAUUUCUUCCACAACACCCCAACCUCCCCACACUAUAUUUGGGGUCAUGAUAUAUGACAUGAUAGGGAACUUAAGCACUAUGAGGUAGGUGACAGAUGAGCAGCAGUUUUACAGAUGUCAGUGGCACUCAAAUGGUAGAUUUAGGCACUUAUCUGUAUGUAUGGUUUGGGCCUACAUGUAUAACUAUGCAGUGUAGUGUGGAUAUUGCAUAGUGACUUCAGUGGAGUUACUGACGAUGUAGAGUUAAGCAUGUGCAUACAUCUUUUCAGGGUUGUUCCCUGUAUAUUGGAACUGUUGUCUCUAUCAGGCAGUUUGGGAAUGUUUAGGUAUAUUUGAGUAGAAACUUGUUCUGUUCAAGUUCCAGAACUCUUAGAUAUGUUUAAAGGUUGCUGCUCUUGACCAAUACUACAAAAACUAAUAUGGGACUCACUGAACUAAUGAAUUAAUCUUAUUUCACUUCUUAUUCAGUCUCAUUCUUUCACAUAUUAAUGUUCUCUUUGAUAGUAUCCCCAGGCCUGUAACUCCCUUCCAAUCUUAAAGUACAAGGCAGCCAUCCUCCCUCUAUUCUAAUUCCUUCUCAAUACUUCUUUUGUGAAGCCUCCAACACCAAUUCAUCUCAGUAAAAGGUUAUUGUUAUUCUUAAAACACUGGAUAAAAUAGAGUCUUUGUCUAGGUCUCUGAUUUUAUUUUGUGUUUAAACUGUCAGCUCCUCUCCUAUAGGACUGUUUUUCUUGUAAAGUGCAAAGCAAUGGAAUUGGGGUUUUAAUAAAUAAUUAUGACAACACUGGAAAAUAGGAAGUAUGUUUUUACACAGUAUACAAAAAUUUGGAAGUGACUACCACAAAGAAAAUGAACUGUAGCCCUGGGGUUAUAUGAAAGUAGGAGGUAAAAUAAUGCAUUCUUCAGGGAAUAAAUUGACUGCAUAUGGGAACUAGAAACAAGUAUGUGCUAAAAAGUUAGCUCAGAGCCAUAUGAAAUAAUGUCAGUGUUGUAAGGUGCAACAGAUCAUGGAAGAAUACUUAUAAGGAACUAACAUUUAUUUCCUAACCUCUGCCAUCUGACAAGGUGUCCAGGUUACAAAAGGUAAACCAACCCCAUGACAGGAGUCAGUAUUUGUUGGCUCCUAACAUUACAGAGAUAUAAUUGUCUUUCCAUAAAGCUGUUACUCAUUUUUUGCAGCCUAGAUCUUGGCUUAGAUUGACCACUGUUCUGUUCUCUGCAGAAUCCUAAUUGCCUUCCUGGCUUGGCUUGUGAAAUGCAGAUACUGUUUAAGAUUUUAUAAAUGACCGUAGGUGCUUGUGGUGUCACAGGAGGCAUGGAAAUAGAAUAUUUUUCCCACAAGGAGGAAUUUUAAAGGAAACUCAAAUGCCUCUUGUGCAGAGGCAGAAGAAUGUAACAGUGGCCACAAUAUGAAGACUGGAAAUCCCAGCAAAGAAAUGAAAAAUGAAAACUGUCAGAGAUCCUGCAGGCAUGCUGUUUACAUUUAGGAUCAUCUUUCACAUCCAACUGAAACAGAAACGUCCUUGUACACUCCAGGAAAGUGACUAAUUCAGGAGUUUAUCUGCUGCAGUCCUCAGAACCUGAUUGGUUUUUUAAUUACCUAACUUCCAAGGCAUUUGCUUUUUGGUGCGUGUUUCUUUAGUGUCUUGAACAGCAUGGCCUAUUUUGUAACAUUUUGUUCUUUUGACUUCCCUCUGAUGAGCUGAUUAUUGUACAUCAUUAUCUGAUUUCUCUAGCUGUCAUCCAGCUCAGUAACUAACUUUUCUUUUUGCUUGAGAGAGCACUUUGGGAGGCAUCUGAUUUAGAAAUAAUUCGGGUCAACAUAGGAAAAAUCCAGUUAUUGUCACAUUCAGACACAGAGGGAAAACUUGUGUAGGAUACCUUUUAACAUGCUUCAAUCUCUGUUGAAGCACACUACUCGGAGAAAAAAGGCCGAACAGAUUUUGUUUUGACCUUUUGGCAUUUCUGUGUAGGGAUUAAAAAAACUAUUCUUUGUCCUUAUUUUGCAGCUGUAGAAGGAUAUCCAAACCUUUAACAUUGCUUAUGAAAAGGAUCAACAGUUCAAGCUUCAAGGCAUUAGGUUGAAACAUGUUUUCAGUUUCUAGUCAGACUUCAUCCCAACCUCUGACAUUUUCUGCAUUCUUUAACUAGUUUUAACUCUCCUUGUUGCAGUUUCUGUCAUUCUGAGCAGGUUGCUUUUUGCAAAAAAUGCUAAAUUAAAUAUGGGAAUUGUAAUAAUUACUGUUUGUUUUAAUUCAAAGCCAAAGGACUCUAUUUCUCCAGACAUCAGGUGAGCUCCAUUCCCACAAUACCUUCAUAUGAAAAUGUCUCUUCACAGUACUAUCAGUCUCCCAUAGUAGUGUGGGACCUUCUGUACGUGAGUUCCCCAUACAGCAGGAAAGAAGAGGAACAUAAUAAGGAAAUGAGUGACAGGAGAUGCUAAGAACUGUUAGUUUUACUCUGGGUAUUUGAGGUAUUAUGUUUUUCUCUUUAGAGACCCUCAUGGAAAUCUUUACAUCAGUACUGAAUAGAACAAAAUAAAAUGUUGUUGGGAAAAAAUAUUUGUCAUUUAAUCCUGCAAUAUUUUCUAUGUCUGAUUCUCAACUAGGGUGAUAUGGAGUCCUUUUAAAGGUGCUGUGGGGUGCCAUGAGUUAUGCAAACAUCAGCACAUGAUUUCCAAGAUAAAUCCAGAGGUUUCAAAUAAGAGCCCAGUGUCAAUUCUGACCUGGUGUAGUCUGAGUUAGUUGCAACAGAAGAAUUGUUUUAUUAUUUUUCUGUAGUCAAGAAAUG